rnacentral:lncRNA from 1 species
CACCCGGUACUGCCCCCUCGCUCUAAAUCUGCGCAUUCCCAGAGUACCUGAUUUUAAGAAUCGUCUGCUAGGCUGAUUGAAUGCAUAGGUUAACAGGUUUGUCCCUUAGAGAUUCUGAUUCAGUAUUUCUAGGUCGUGGCCUGGGAAUCCGUGAUUUUUACAUGUAUUCCCACGCCCUUCUUGAGCAACAAAUAUGAUCUGGGAAAUGUGGGAAGCAGUGGACUAGUCACAUUUUUUAAAUUCAAAAAUUGUGGGUUUUAUUUCCCCUUCUGAUUUUAGUAGAAAUACAUACUUAUUUUAGAAAAUUGAAAAAUAACAGAAAAUUGUGCUGUAAAAAAGUUCCCUGAUUUUGUGUGUGUGUGUAUUUCCUUCCGGAUAGUUUUUUUUUUUUUGACUUGCUUGGUCAGUUCUGUGUGACUCUUUGCAACACCCAUGGACUGUGGCUUGUCAGACUCCUCUCUCCAUGGAAUUUUCCAGGCAAGAAUACUGGAGUGGGUUGCUAUUUCCUUCUCCAGGGGAUCUUCCCCACUCAGGGAACAGAACUCUAAUUUCCCGUGUCCCCUGCUUUGGCAGGUGGAUUCUUUACUACUGAGCCACCUGGGAAGCCUAUAAUAAUAAUAAGUGAAUGUUGAGUAAUUGGAAUAUUACAGGCAUGAUACCAAGUACUUUAUAUACACUACUUCAUAAUCUAAAAAGCAGUUAUUAUCGCUAUUUUGCAGAUCCAAAAAUGGAGGCACAGAGUUUGUUACCCUGAUCACCUAGCUAAAGGUGCAAGAGGAGGGGUUGAAGUCAGGUCUCCUGAAUCCAAAUCUUGGCGAUGUUUAAGCUAAGGUGUACUACAUUUUGCGAGCUAGCUGAUAUCAAAGGUCCCAGGGCUUGUGGCUGUGCCCUGCCCCUCUUGGGAACAGCGGGGGCCCAGGAACCUCUCUGCAGCACGGCUACCACCCAACCUCACCCGGCCACGAGCGAGGAUCCAGGAGAGGACGCGGGCCCUGGCAGAGCUGAUCAGUAUCCUUCGCUCUUAACUGGUGGAUGUGCUAGAAGGGGAGGUGACGGCUGCAGGCAGCCCCUCGCGUGGUAAAGAGAAUGAAGACAGCACAUUCAGAGAUGUCAGGGGAGGGGAGAGAGAGGGGUGUCUGAGUGUCGCCUCCCUGCUCCCAGGAGGCCCUUGUGUCUGCUUCCUGCCUGUCUUAUCUGGAUUUAUUUUUGUCAUCCACUAACUCC